CUCUUGUUUGCUGUUUUACUUUGAUAGUCUUGUGUGCUAUGUUAGUGUUUUCAUGUCUGUGAAGGUUCUCAGUCAUCUAGGUCAUCGUAGUCUAAGGAGUUUGGAAAGAAAGCGUCUGGACUUGAAGUUGCUUGAAGAUGUUUCACCUUCUCGGAUGAAAAGAACUUCAACUUUGCUUGAACGUCUUCAAGCAACUUAAAGAAGUCCAGACGUUUUCUUUCUAAGCUCCUUAGACUAUGUUAGUGUUUUCAGUUUUCCUUCCCCAUGGUCUUGUUGUUUGUGAUUUGUGGCAGCUGUGCUCUCAUCCUGUGUCUUAUUCCCUCAUUUAUCCCUCUGUGUAUUUAAGCCCAUUGUUUUCCUCUGUUUGCUGUUGGGUUGUCUGUGUAUCAUCCAUGACAAUUAAAUUAAAUAGCAAAUGCAACUACAAUUUCAAUGAGAUUCAUUCCUGGCAUUCUACUGCGGUGGCUGAAAGUAGACACCAAGCAUUAUCACUGUAACUGAUGUAAAUAUUGGACUUGGAGGAUUCAUCUGAUAGACUGAUGCAAACAUUACUGUGAGGAAAAUUUUGAAUCUCCCAAUUUUCUUUUUUUCUGAAAGAAAGAAAGUCGGUUACUGUAUCACAUUUGUAUGGCAAGAUGUGAAUUCAGUAUGCGUGUGUGUUUGUGUCAGAGAGGAGUUUAUCUGAGCCAGGGGUAAAGCAGGAGGUCCUCCAGCAUUGGGCACUUCUCCAGGACUUUGUUAAAACUUGUUUUCAAGACGUCUGAAAUGAAAGAAGGACAAGAGAUAUCGAGAUGAUAAUUCCAGUGAUCCAAGCGAUCACAUUGAUUUUCUGCAAAAUUUUCUUUUUGAGAGUCAUUCGGCUGGGCAGGGGGUAUAACACAUCUGCAAUGCAGCAACAUCUGCUCUCUGGGCCUGUGUGAGAGUGUUAUCUCAAUGGCGGUGAUAGGUUUGUAGCUUGAACCUAUCCGCUGGAACGUUGAAGGCAAUGUAAUUACACAGCAAAGCAAGACACGAGUAGGCAACAUUCUUUAUGUUUCACGUGCACGGGAGAGAACUGGACAGGCGCCGUUCCUUCGCUUGACCCCAGUUGCUCUCGUCCGUUCCCCCGUAACACUGCUCUUUUAUUGUGGUUACAUGAAUAUGCAUAGGUUCAUUAACAUAUGACGUAUACCUUGUGUGUGUGUGUGUGUGUGUGUGUGUGUGUGGGGUCGAGAUAUGACCCCAUGAAGACUCCCCAAAGCUGGUGCCAGGAGUCUAACGGUACAUCUGAACAAAAGGCUCUUAGACUCAAACAGAUAUACGUAUGUUUGCUAUACCAUAUAUCAGCAAGAGAAGAUACGACCUCUCCUAGGAGGUGUGUGAUCUAUGCCAGAACACUCUGGAGAGGAGUGAAUGCACUCC
ensembl:lncRNA